CCUACGGGUGGCAGCAGUGAGGAAUAGUGGGCAAUGGGCGCGAGCCUGAACCAGCCAAGUCGCGGGAGGGAAGACGGUCCUAUGGAUUGUAAACCUCUUUUGUCGGGGAGCAAAAGACGCCACGCGUGGCGUUCCGAGAGUACCCUAAGAAAAAGCAUCGGCUAACUCCGUGCCAGCAGCCGCGGUAAUACGGAGGAAGCGAGCGGUAUCCGGAUUUAUUGGGUUGAAAGGGUGCGUAGGCGGGAUGCCAAGGCGGCGGUAAAAGUGCGGUGCGCAACGCCGGCGAGCCUUUGAAACUGGCGUUCUUGAGUGGGCGAGAAGUAUGCGGAAUGCGUGGUGUAGCGGUGAAAUGCAUAGAUAUCACGCAGAACUCCGAUUGCGAAGGCAGCAUACCGGAGCGCAACUGACGCUGAGGCACGAAAGCGUGGGUAUCGAACAGGAUUAGAUACCCGAGUAGUC
rnacentral:rRNA from 1 species